rnacentral:rRNA from 1 species
UACGUAGGCAGCAAGCGUUGUUCGGAAUUACUGGGCGUAAAGAGUGUGUAGGCGGUGCUCUAAGUUUGGUGUGAAAGCCCCGGGCUCAACCUGGGAAUUGCAUUCGAGACUGAAUAGCUAGGGUACGGUAGAGGGAAGUGGAAUUUCCGGUGUAGCGGUGAAAUGCGUAGAUAUCGGAAGGAACAUCAGUGGCGAAAGCGACUUCCUGGACCAGUACCGACGUUCAGGCACGAAAGCGUGGGGAGCAAACAGG